UUAUUUGAAACAGGAUACAACCUAGAACACUGGGUAAAUAAGGGUAACCCAAACAAAGUGGGCCUAAAAGCAGCCACCUUCCAAAAAGCGUUAUAGCUUAACUAUAAACAUCCCCUAAUCUGAUUUAUUAUUCUUAACCCUUCACCUGUACUGAACUAUUUUAUACCUUUAUAAAAAAUAUUAUGCUAGAACUAGUAACAAGAACUUGAUUUUCUCCAAAAUGUAAGCAUAAGCCAAAACGGACUAUCCAUUAGCACUUAACGUAAAUGCCUUCACUAUAGCAACAAACCUCUAGAAAACCCUAUAAUCUUGCACGUUACCCUAACACCAGAACAUUUAAGGAAAGAUUAAAAGAGAAAGAAGGAACUCGGCAAAUUUUAGCCCCGCCUGUUUACCAAAAACAUCGCCUCUUGACAAAACAUAAGAGGUCCAGCCUGCCCAGUGACAAACUUUAACGGCCGCGGUACCCUAACCGUGCGAAGGUAGCAUAAUCACUUGUUCUUUAAAUAGGGACUAGUAUCAACGGCAUCACGAGGGCUAUACUGUCUCCUUUCUCCAAUCAGUGAAACUGAUCUCCCCGUGAAGAAGCGGGGAUUCAACU
rnacentral:rRNA from 1 species